GCACUGCUGAUGAGACCCACCCAGGUCAAAACAGCUGUCUAGUGC
rfam:Echinostoma caproni strain Egypt genome assembly, scaffold: ECPE_scaffold0003737